AUUGAACGCUGGCGGCAGGCCUAACACAUGCAAGUCGAGCGAGCGGCGGACGGGUGAGUAAUGUAUGGGGACUGCCCGAUAGAGGGGGAUAACUACUGGAAACGGUGGCUAAUACCGCAUACUAUCGGAUAACCCAUAUGGGAUUAGGUAGUUGGUGGGGUAAAGGCUCACCAAGGCGACGAUCGCUAGCUGGUCUGAGAGGAUGACCAGCCACACUGGGACUGAGACACGGCCCAUACUCCUACGGAGGCAGCAGUGGGGAAUAUUGCACAAUGGGGGCAAGCCUGAUGCAGCCAUGCCGCGUGUAUGAAGAAGGCCUUAGGGUUGUAAAGUACUUUCAGCGGGGAGGCGUUACCCGCAGAAGAAGCACCGGCUAACUCCGUGCCAGCAGCCGCGGUAAUAC
rnacentral:rRNA from 1 species